CAGACUGAAGCUUUGAAAGAAGCAUUUUAUUUACAUUAAAGAGAGUAUUAAAUUUAGUACGGUUUGA
rnacentral:tRNA from 1 species